rnacentral:rRNA from 1 species
AUACGAAAGGUGCAAGCGUUGUUGGGAUUUACUGGGCGUAAAGAGAGUGUAGGUUGUUUAUUAAGUCGGAUGUGAGAUCCCGGGGCUCAACCUCGGAACUGCAUUCGAUACUGAUAGGCUAGAGUUUGGGAGGGGUAAGCGGAAUUCCGUGUGUAGCAGUGAAAUGCGUAGAUAUACGGAGGAACACCUGAGGCGAAGGCGGCUUACUGGACCAAUACUGACACUGAGACUCGAAAGCGUGGGUAGCAAACAGGAUUAGAUACCCUAGUAGUCC